rnacentral:rRNA from 1 species
UACGUAGGUGACAAGCGUUGUCCGGAUUUACUGGGCGUAAAGAGCGCGCAGGCGGUCGUGCAAGUCGCGUGUGAAAGCCCCCGGCUCAACUGGGGGGGGUCACGCGAUACUGCUCGACUCGAAGGCAGGAGAGGGAAGUGGAAUUCCCGGUGUAGUGGUGAAAUGCGCAGAUAUCGGGAGGAACACCAGUGGCGAAGGCGACUCCUGGCCUGGUUCUUGACGCUGAGGCGCGAAAGCUAGGGGAGCAAACGGGGAUUAAGAA